AGCGAACGCUGGCGGCAGGCCUAACACAUGCAAGUCGAACGAACUCUUCGGAGUUAGUGGCGGACGGGUGAGUAACACGUGGGAACGUGCCUUUAGGUUCGGAAUAACUCAGGGAAACUUGUGCUAAUACCGAAUGUGCCCUUCGGGGGAAAGAUUUAUCGCCUUUAGAGCGGCCCGCGUCUGAUUAGCUAGUUGGUGAGGUAAAGGCUCACCAAGGCGACGAUCAGUAGCUGGUCUGAGAGGAUGAUCAGCCACAUUGGGACUGAGACACGGCCCAAACUCCUACGGGACGCAGCAGUGGGGAAUCUUGCGCAAUGGGCGAAAGCCUGACGCAGCCAUGCCGCGUGAAUGAUGAAGGUCUUAGGAUUGUAAAAUUCUUUCACCGGGGACGAUAAUGACGGUACCCGGAGAAGAAGCCCCGGCUAACUUCGUG
rnacentral:rRNA from 1 species